AUAUCCUACGGGGGGCAGCAGUGAGGAAUAUUGGUCAAUGGGCGAGAGCCUGAACCAGCCAAGCCGCGUGAGGGAAGACGGUCCUAUGGAUUGUAAACCUCUUUUGCCGGGGAGCAAAAAGCGGUACGUGUACCGCAUCGAGAGUACCCGGAGAAAAAGCAUCGGCUAACUCCGUGCCAGCAGCCGCGGUAAUACGGAGGAUGCGAGCGUUAUCCGGAUUUAUUGGGUUUAAAGGGUGCGCAGGCGGCGAGUUAAGUCAGCGGGAAAAUUUCGGGGCUAAACCCCGAAAAGCCGUUGAAACAGGG
rnacentral:rRNA from 1 species